rnacentral:rRNA from 1 species
AGAGUUUGAUUAUGGCUCAGGAUGAACGCUGGCGGCAGGCUUAAUACAUGCAAGUCGAACGGUAAGGCCGAGUGCAGCAAUGCAUGAGGUACACGAGUGGCGCACGGGUGCGUAACGCGUAUGCAACCUGCCCCCGCACCGGGACAAAACAGCUGGAAACGGCUGCUAAUAUCCCAUAGUCACCUGGGAGGGCAUCCUCCUGUGUGUAAAGAUUUAUUGGUACGGGAUGGGCAUGCGUAUUAUUAGGUAGUUGGCGGGGUAACGGCCCACCAAGCCGACGAUGAUUAGGGGUCCUGAGAGGGUUAACCCCCACACUGGAACUGAGACACGGUCCAGACUCCUACGGGAGGCAGCAGUAGGGAAUAUUGGGCAAUGGGAGCAAUCCUGACCCAGCCAUGCCGCGUGAAGGAAGACGGACCCUAUGGGUUGUAAACUUCUUUUGCCGCAGAGUAAACCCGGUCACGUGUGGUCGGUUGAGAGUAUGCGGCGAAUAAGUAUCGGCUAACUCCGUGCCAGCAGCCGC